CUCUUCUUUGUAAGAAACUAAAAAGAAUAAAACAAAAAGCAUGGGUUGCAAUCCUAGGCUCUGAUGAAAUGGACUGUAAACCAACAAAGAUCAAAAGAGACAAAGCAGGGCAUUACAUAAUGGUAAAA